UACGGAGGGUGCAAGCGUUAUCCGGAUUCACUGGGUUUAAAGGGUGCGUAGGUGGCUUUGUAAGUCAGUGGUGAAAUCUUAGAGCUUAACUCUAAAACUGCCAUUGAUACUGCUUAGCUUGAAUCAAGUAGAGGUGGAUGGAAUAUUACAUGUAGCGGUGAAAUGCUUAGAUAUGUAAUAGAACACCGAUUGCGAAGGCAGUUCACUAUGCUUGUAUUGACACUGAGGCACGAAAGCGUGGGGAUCAAACAGG
rnacentral:rRNA from 1 species